rnacentral:rRNA from 1 species
UUGACUUACGUCGCAGUCCUCAGUCCCAGCUGGCAGUAUUCCCACAGGCUAUAAUACUUACCGAGGCAAGCUACAUUCCUAUGGAUUUAUCCUGCCACCAAAACUGAUGCUGGCCCAGUGAAAUGCGAGAUUCCCCUACCCACAAGGAGCAGAGGGCACAAAACACCAUGUCUGAUCAAAUGCCCUUCCCUUUCAACAAUUUCACGUACUUUUUCACUCUCUUUUCAAAGUUCUUUUCAUCUUUCCAUCACUGUACUUGUUCGCUAUCGGUCUCUCGCCAAUAUUUAGCUUUAGAUGGAAUUUACCACCCACUUAGAGCUGCAUUCCCAAACAACUCGACUCUUCGAAGGCACUUUACAAAGAACCGCACUCCUCGCCACACGGGAUUCUCACCCUCUAUGACGUCCUGUUCCAAGGAACAUAGACAAGGAACGGCCCCAAAGUUGCCCUCUCCAAAUUACAACUCGGGCACCGAAGGUACCAGAUUUCAAAUUUGAGCUUUUGCCGCUUCACUCGCCGU